rnacentral:pre_miRNA from 1 species
GAAGAAUGAAUUGCUCCUUCUCCUAUACCCAUUGCAUAUAGGAGUUGUGAGUUCUCAAAAUAUCUCCUGUGUGCAUGGAUUACAGGAGGACGAGCCCUGUCAUCUU